rnacentral:rRNA from 1 species
AUGCGUGGAUGUGGGAUAACCCUUUCUGUGAUGUUGGUUGGUGCUUACCCUCUCGAGGAUCCAGAAGAUCCAAAAAAACGAAAUUCAGAAACCCCAUAUCAAACGGAAUCCAAACGGGAUAAAAACGGACGGAUAAUAUUUUUGGAAUAUUUGAAAAAUUCUGGAAGAAGAAUCAACGCAAGACGGUGCCCGAGGUGGCCACGAGGCAGGGGGUGCGCCUGCCCCCCUAGGCGCGCCCCUGACCCUCGUGGGCCACCCGUAAGGCGGUUGAUGCCCUUCUUCAGCCGCAACAAAGCUAAUUUUUGGGAAAAUAUCACGGCGAAGGUUUCAGUCCAAUCGGAGUUACGGAUCUCCAUAUAUAUACGAAACGGUGAAAGGGAACCAGACGAGAACGCAGAAACAGAGAGAGACAGAGAGACAGAUCCAAUCUCGGAGGGACUCUCGCCCCUCCCACUCCAUGGAGACCAUGGACUAGAGGGGAAACCCUUCUCCUAUCUAGGGAGAAGGUCAAGGAAGAAGAAGAAGGAGGGGGGCUCUCUCCCCCAAGCUUUCGGUGGCGCCAGGACGCUGCCGGGGGCCAUCAUCAUCACCGCGAUCUACACCAACACCUCCGCCAUCUUCACCAACAUCUCCAUCACCUUCCCCCCUCUAUCUACAGCGGUCCACUCUCCCGCAACCCGCUGUACCCUCUACUUGAACAUGGUGCUUUAUGCUUCAUAUUAUUAUUCAAUGAUGUGUUGCCAUCCUAUGAUGUCUGAGUAG